rnacentral:rRNA from 1 species
UGGGGAAUUUUGGACAAUGGGGGCAACCCUGAUCCAGCAAUGCCGCGUGUGUGAAGAAGGCCUUCGGGUUGUAAAGCACUUUUGUCCGGAAAGAAAACGCCGUGGUUAAUACCCGUGGCGGAUGACGGUACCGGAAGAAUAAGCACCGGCUAACUACGUGCCAGCAGCCGCGGUAAUACGUAGGGUGCAAGCGUUAAUCGGAAUUACUGGGCGUAAAGCGUGCGCAGGCGGUCCGCUAAGACAGAUGUGAAAUCCCCGGGCUUAACCUGGGAACUGCAUUUGUGACUGGCGGGCUAGAGUAUGGCAGAGGGGGGUAGAAUUCCACGUGUAGCAGUGAAAUGCGUAGAGAUGUGGAGAAUACCGAUGGCGAAGGCAGCCCCCUGGGCCAAUACUGACGCUCAUGCACGAAAGCGUGGGGAGCAAACAGGAUUAGAUACCCUGGUAGUCCACGCCCUAAACGAUGUCAACUAGUUGUCGGGUCUUCAUUGACUUGGU